UAGUGGAUAGGCGGAAAAACUGUACGUCAUUACGUACAGCGGGACGUCUAGGAGAAGAUAAACAAAAAGGAAGGAAGCCUUCGGCCAUACAAUCGCGGCAAAAUCGGUUCAAAAAUUUAGCUUACAAGCUACAGUUAGCAACUACAUGUACCCUUUUAUUGCUUAGAUAAUUAACAUUGGGCGUUCACAAUCAUGGACGAGGCAAUAGUAUUUCGUAUGAGUGCAUUUUCCGAGCAAGGAGGGAGGAAAUACAUGGAGGAUGUUGUCGAGAUAAGAAUCGAGUACGAGCCGACGCCGUCGCCAGUCGAAGAUUAUCCAAAGUCGCAGAGACAUGGAGGACAGGGAAAAGCCGAGAAUGAACCUACCAAACAGACUGAAAAUGAGACACACGAUCAUAACAUUGCUGCAGAAUCAGGCCCAGCUUCUGCAGUGUGGGUAGAAAGUAUAUCAAAUGAGGACAGUGGCAACAACAGUGCACCGGUAUUAAACGAAAAAGUCGCAGAGCACGUAGUCGACACUCGGAAGUCUGUGGCGUUUUUCGCUGUUUUUGACGGCCACGGGGGGCGAGAAGCAGCACAUUUCGCAAGAGAGAAUCUGUGGGAUUUGCUGAAAAGACAGCGGGGGUUUUGGUCUAAGGAUCAUAGUGAAGUGUGUGCUGCCCUUCGGAAAGGCUUCAUCGCCUGUCACCAUGCAAUGUGGAAGGAGCUACCGGAGUGGCCAAAGACUAUUACUGGCCUGCCAAGUACAUCAGGCACCACGGCCAGCGUAAUUGUGAUCCGUGGAGUUCACAUGUAUGUUGCCCAUGUAGGGGAUUCAGCAGUAGUGGUUGGAGUAAAAGAAAAUGACUCUGAUAUUACGCUCCAGGCACUUGAAGUAACACAAGACCAUAAACCUGAACUUCCUAAAGAAAAAGAAAGGAUUGAACGACUGGGUGGCAGUGUAAUGAAGAAAUCUGGGGUGAACCGUGUUGUGUGGAAGAGGCCCAGACUGACCCAUAACGGCCCAGUGAGGAGGAGUACAGUCAUUGACCAGAUCCCCUUCCUGGCUGUGGCCCGAUCCCUUGGUGAUCUGUGGAGCUACGAUUUCUACAGUGGGGAGUUUGUGGUUUCUCCAGAGCCUGAUACCACCGUGAUGACCCUUGACCCCAAACGGCAUCGCUACAUCAUCCUCGGCAGUGAUGGACUAUGGAAUAUGAUGCCACCCAAGAAUGCUGUUAAUAUGUGUUAUAGCCACGACAAAAUGGUGGGACCGAAGGGAAUGUCUUGCGCCCGCCGGUUGGGAUGCACAGCCCUACUGUUUUGGAAAGAACGCAUGCUCCGUGCAGACAACACAACAGUUAUUGUCUUAGCCCUGCAGGAGCACGGAGGCCCUCCUAUCCCUAUGCAUCGAGAUGAGAUUGUUGUUGACAUGGCUACAGGAAUUGACCAUGUUCCAUACCCAGGAACUACUUAUAACACAUGUCAGGUCCCAAAGGCGGAGCAUGAGGAUGACAUGUUUUAUGAAGAAGAUGAGAUAUAUGGAGAAGAACAUGAGGGAUGGCCAUGCCUGGAGUGGUAGUGAGCUGCUCCCAAGCAGAGAGGACUAACCAACCACCCAUGAAAUAUCUGAAGACUAGAUAUGUACUAGGAGAGGGAUUUUCCUUGGAAGGAGAAGAGUGAUGCAGUGAAUGCUUCCUCCCCAUUCAAAGACAGUUCCACAACUCUGGAGCAGGCAUUUGGGCUGUAUGAAGCAGCUUUCUGUGCCACUGCACAGCUCUUACCUGAUGUCAUCUCUGUGAGUGCCACACUGCCCCCCUCAGAUGGUUCUGUGAAUGUUUUCGAAACGCAAGACUCGACAACCCAAAUGGACUGUGCUACUUCUGCUCCUCCGUUAAAAAGGUCUCGCCGUUCUCCGCACAUCCCCCCUGAACUUAGAGGUCCUCACCGUCGGCUUGGCAGGUCCUCCAACAAAAGUGUCCUCCAGAAGACGCCUCAUAGCAAUGUACAAAAUGAACAACCGCGUCAAACUCGUGCUCAAAAGAGAGAAAUAAGCUCCACUGAGGAACGCAGUAUCCUACCACAGCACCGCAACUCUGCCUUGUGUGUGUGCUGAAUUUUGUCUCAGAAACAGUGUUUUUGCUCUGAGACUAGGAUAAUCUGCAUUGUGUCAACUUUGCUUAUGUUUCAAUGUUUCAGGUGUGCCACAGGACAAUUCCUAGAUGUAUACUUUUUAUACAGAGUUUUUGUUUUUGUAAAUAUGUGAGAAAUUUGAGAUUAUAAAUGUGUUGCUGUUUUGACCUUCAUGCUCUUCUUCCUGCCCGCUCCUUUAAAUUUUAGUGUUCAUGGAAAUUUUAGAUCUGUUCAAUCUACACAAUCUAUUUUCAUACUUAUUAGUAUGUAUAGUAUAUCCGAAAUAAGUAUUUUGAAGAAGAUAGAUCACUACAGUCUGAGAUAACAUGAGUUCACUAAAAGUGUGACACAUGCAAUCUUCCAGUUGUAAUAUUUAUCAAAUUAAUUAACUAUUUUAGAUGUUUUGACUUGGAUGCUUACAUGCCAGUUUUUCCUUGAUUGGGGUUAAUAUUUCAGACCAAUUGUCUGGAAUCUUUCCUCUUAGAUGAAAUGUGUUACUAUGUCAGAGGUUUAUUUUAUUGUUUAAUGGGGUUGGGGGGUAUUGAUGGGUAGUUUUCAUCUCAUGUUGUUGAAUUCUGUGUUUCAACUUCUGAGUGUAUAUCGUUCAGUUGCAGUAGUUGCCCCUGAUAGUGGUAAUACUGCAUGGUGCAAAAUAAUGGGAAAAAAUUGACAAGCAAUGGUCUGAGGUAAUUAUGAGGGUAUUGAUUUUAAAUCUAUAUUAUUUGUUUUGUGUCUUUACCAGUGGCUAAUUUUGUACGGAUCACAAUUGCUUCUCAGCUAAUUGGUGCAUCUUAUGCAUAGCUUGUGAGGGGGUGUUAAAAGGGUCAGUUCACCCAAAUCAGAAAAACAUAAAACAUAUUCCCUCACUUACCCUUGUGGUAUCCAUCCAUGUGUGUUCUAGUGAACUGACCCUUUUGAUUGUACUUUGCUGGACAAUUUUUAUUUGGUGGAGAGUCAUAUCGAUCUAUUCCAAGCAUCUCCAUGAAUGAUUAGGCCAAUUAAAUUACUGUUGUAUGUUAUUUUUUAAACCUUGGUCCUAUCUAGAAGUAGAUUUGUUUAAAUGGUACAAUCAGAGGUACACGUUGUUGGGUAUUGGUACUGUAUUGGGUGCUGAUGUAAAAGCCAAGAUCAAUACCUGUGCCUCUCUGGAAGGUGGUAUGAAGUCUGCUUUGCCCUUGAUUUUUGUUUGUAGAACAAUUUUAAAGGUCCACUAGGCACUAACACCGUUUCAAAAGAUCUUCCUCUCUGAUCUCAUAUAUUUUACCCUUGUGUAUGGUUUGCAUCCAUAACUUGUGUUUUAAUCUGCACAUAAAACACCUCAUGGUACUGUACAUAUGUCAAAUACAGGAAGUGCCCGAUUCAUGGUAUAUAGUAAAUAACAAAGUAAUCAAAGCUCUAACUUGUGUUAAUAUGGCAGCUCAGUUACUGUUCUAGCCGAUUUGUUUGCCCUUUUUUUUUUUACAUAAAGUGUCAUGUUUGCCUUAGCACAAACAAGUCAGAGGUGCUUUUCACAUAUGUGGGACUCAAACAGGUGAGAAUCUCUAGGAUAUGUCAAUAAUAAGUAUGGCUGUGGCCCAGCCUCAACCAUUCAUCAUGUACCUUCAGUUCUACACCAGUGUUAUUUUACCAUUCACACUGCAGCAUACUAAACCUGCUCCUGAACCUGGUUGAUGUUUUUCAGUUAUAUUACAUAGCAGUUUGUUGGUUUUGUACAGUGUGUUAAUAUGCAAUAGAAGUUUGUACAGUACAUUAUUAUGCAAAGUAAUUGGGUUUUUCAGGACUCUGGCAUGCUCAGAUCUACUCCGUAUGUUGUGAAGUGUCCAGAGGUAAUGGAUGUUAAUGCGCAUGUGGUUUGUUUUUGACCAUUACAGUACUUGGGUCUGGUUUCAUAUCCACUGCAGCCAGUUUUCAGGACUAACUAUAUAAGUUACAUCCUUUGAAAGUGACUGGAUAUACAAUGUCUGUGUGUUGUAAUAAAGUCCUCAUUUUCCA